AUACGUAGGAUGCGAGCGUUGUCCGGAAUUACUGGGCGUAAAGGGCGUGUAGGCGGAUCGAUCAGUCAGGCGUGAAAGCCCCGGGCUCAACCCGGGAACUGCGUUUGAAACUGUCGAUCUUGAGUCCGGGAGAGGGUAGUGGAAUUCCCAGUGUAGAGGUGAAAUUCGUAGAUAUUGGGAAGAACACCAGUGGCGAAGGCGGCUACCUGGACCGGUUCUGACGCUGAGGCGCGAAAGCGUGGGGAGCAAACAGGAUUAGAAACCCCAGUAGUCC
rnacentral:rRNA from 1 species